rnacentral:rRNA from 1 species
CCGGAUUAGAUACCCUGGUAGUCCACGCCCUAAACGAUGUCUACUAGUUGUUGGGUCUUAAUUGACUUAGUAACGCAGCUAACGCGUGAAGUAGACCGCCUGGGGAGUACGGUCGCAAGAUUAAAACUCAAAGGAAUUGACGGGGACCCGCACAAGCGGUGGAUGAUGUGGAUUAAUUCGAUGCAACGCGAAAAACCUUACCUACCCUUGACAUGGCAGGAACCCUGGAGAGAUCCGGGGGUGCUCGAAAGAGAACCUGCACACAGGUGCUGCAUGGCUGUCGUCAGCUCGUGUCGUGAGAUGUUGGGUUAAGUCCCGCAACGAGCGCAACCCUUGUCAUUAGUUGCUACGCAAGAGCACUCUAAUGAGACUGCCGGUGACAAACCGGAGGAAGGUGGGGAUGACGUCAAGUCCUCAUGGCCCUUAUGGGUAGGGCUUCACACGUCAUACAAUGGUACAUA